rnacentral:rRNA from 1 species
AUUGAACGCUGGCGGCAUGCCUUACACAUGCGAGUCGAACGGCAGCACGGGUGCUUGCACCUGGUGGCGAGUGGCGAACGGGUGAGUAAUACAUCGGAACAUGUCCUGUAGUGGGGGAUAGCCCGGCGAAAGCCGGAUUAAUACCGCAUACGAUCUACGGAUGAAAGCGGGGGACCUUCGGGCCUCGCGCUUUCGGGUUGGCCGAUGGCUGAUUAGCUAGUUGGUGGGGUAAAGGCCUACCAAGGCGACGAUCAGUAGCUGGUCUGAGAGGACGACCAGCCACACUGGGACUGAGACACGGCCCAGACUCCUACGGGAGGCAGCAGUGGGGAAUUUUGGACAAUGGGCGAAAGCCUGAUCCAGCAAUGCCGCGUGUGUGAAGAAGGCCUUCGGGUUGUAAAGCACUUUUGUCCGGAAAGAAAUCCUUGGCCCUAAUACGGUCGGGGGAUGACGGUACCGGAAGAAUAAGCACCGGCUAACUACGUG